AGAAGCCAGUUCUUCCCAACAAAGGAACUUAGGAUUUACAAGUCAGUAAAACAUGUGCAACAUUUCCAGAAAUGUACCAGAGUUGUUCGUGAUCAUAACCCCAAAUCAUUGGUACCUCGAUGUUUAGAGGGGAAACAGCAUUGGCUGGGCAAGCUGGGGCAGGGAACGUGAUGAACAGUGGGCUGGAAUAAGUUAACUGGAGGAGGGGAGGCGUCUCAGGAAGGGAGAAUAGCAUGAACAGCAGCAUAGACGUGAGAAUAACCAUCUGGAGUGAUGAACCUAUGCUGAGUAGAAAGUUCCAGAAGGCUGCAUAAGGGAGGUGUGUGAACAGCAGAAGCAGGACAAACCUGAGAUGAAUGUGAGGUUCUGCCCUGUUGUAACAAUGCUGUCUUCUCACAAACUACUCAUGUGCCCUAUAAGAAGAUAACCCACAAUCCCUGAUUCUGCUUUAUUCAAUGACUAGCUACUGCACAGACCGUGUAAAUGGACAGGACAGCCAGAGAGGGAGAAGAUGGCUAAACUGAAGCAACUUGGAGCUAGAAGAUA
rnacentral:lncRNA from 10 species